CACCAGACUCCUACGGGAGGCAGCAGUGGGGAAUAUUGGGCAAUGGGCGCAAGCCUGACCCAGCAACGCCGCGUGAAGGAAGAAGGCUUUCGGGUUGUAAACUUCUUUUGACAGGGAAGAGUAGAAGACGGUGCCUGUCGAAUAAGCCACGGCUAACUACGUGCCAGCAGCCGCGGUAAUACGUAGGGUGCAAGCGUUAUCCGGAUUUAUUGGGCGUAAAGGGCUCGUAGGCGGUUCGUCGCGUCCGGUGUGAAAGUCCAUCGCUUAACGGUGGAUCCGCGCCGGGUACGGGCGGGCUUGAGUGCGGUAGGGGAGACUGGAAUUCCCGGUGUAACGGUGGAAUGUGUAGAUAUUAGGAGGAACACCAGUGGCGAAGGCGGCCUGCUGGACGAUGACUGACGUUGAGGCUCGAAAGCGUGGGGAGCAAACAGGAUUAGAUACCCGUGUAAC
rnacentral:rRNA from 1 species